rnacentral:tRNA from 1 species
UGGGGUGUAGCACACUGGUAGAGUGCUUGGUUAGCAAGCAAAAGACCCUGGGUUCAAACCCCAACAUCACAC